rnacentral:rRNA from 1 species
GAAUAUUGGACAAUGGGGGGAACCCUGCUCCAGCCAUGCCGCGUGUGUGAAGAAGGCCUUUUGGUUGUAAAGCACUUUAAGCGAGGAGGAGGCUACCUGGAUUAAUACUUUAGGUUAGUGGACGUUACUCGCAAUAUAAGCACCGGCUCACUCUUCGCCAGCAGCCGCGGUAAUACUGAGGGUGCGAGCGUUAAUCGGAUUUACUUGGCGUAAAGCGCGGGUAGGUGGCCAAUUAAGUCAAAUGUGAAGUCCCCGAGCUUAACUUGGGAAUUGCAUUCGAUACUGGUUGGCUAGAGUAUGGGAUAGGAUGGUAGAAUUCCAGGUGUAGCGGUGAAAUGCGUAGAGAUCUGGAGGAAUACCGAUGGCGAAGGCAGCCAUCUGGCCUAAUACUGACACUGAGGUGCGAAAGCAUGGGGAGCAAACAG